GCCUCAUGAAAUGGCUUACACCCACAUACCCGGUAAAUUACACACUUUGAUGUUCUGCUCCUUCUCCUGACGGUCACGGUAACGAUGUCUGCGCCUCCGUUUCUGUGGAUGUCCAGCGUGAGACACAACUUGAAUCCAACCAGACUGAACACUGACUCCAGGGACGGACGAGCCUGAAGGACACAGCUGUGAUGACCAUGUUCUGUCUCUUAUGACAAAGCAGAAAUAUAAAACACUGGGUUCUUAUCUAAAGUGUAUCAAAUCAGAUCUCCACCAUGUUGCUGCUGAGGACAUCAGGGACGGACGAGCCUGAAGGACACAGCUGUGAUGACCAAUUGACCAUGUUUUGUCUCUUAUGGCAAAGCAGAAAUAUUAAACACUGGGUUCUUAUCUAAAGUGUAUCAAAUCAGAAAGCAAAAGAUACACAUUGUUGUAAUAAGUUUUUAUUAUUUUAACCAACCAUAAUAAAGAUAGAAAUGAAUUGUUA